rnacentral:rRNA from 1 species
GUUUGAUCCUGGCUCAGAACGAACGCUGGCGGCAGGCCUAACACAUGCAAGUCGAGCGAGACCUUCGGGUCUAGCGGCGGACGGGUUAGUAACGCGUGGGAACGUACCCUUUUCUAAGGAAUAGCCACUGGAAACGGUGAGUAAUGCCUUAUACGCCCUUCGGGGGAAAGAUUUAUCGGAGAAGGAUCGGCCCGCGUUAGAUUAGAUAGUUGGUGGGGUAAUGGCCUACCAAGUCUACGAUCUAUAGCUGGUUUUAGAGGAUGAUCAGCAACACUGGGACUGAGACACGGCCCAGACUCCUAC